GAUGAACGCUGGCGGCGUGCCUAAUACAUGCAAGUCGAGCGAAUGGAUUAAGAGCUUGCUCUUAUGAAGUUAGCGGCGGACGGGUGAGUAACACGUGGGUAACCUGCCCAUAAGACUGGGAUAACUCCGGGAAACCGGGGCUAAUACCGGAUAACAUUUUGAACCGCAUGGUUCGAAAUUGAAAGGCGGCUUCGGCUGUCACUUAUGGAUGGACCCGCGUCGCAUUAGCUAGUUGGUGAGGUAGCGGCUCACCAAGGCAACGAUGCGUAGCCGACCUGAGAGGGUGAUCGGCCACACUGGGACUGAGACACGGCCCAGACUCCUACGGGAGGCAGCAGUAGGGAAUCUUCCGCAAUGGACGAAAGUCUGACGGAGCAACGCCGCAUGAGUGGUGAAGGCUUUCGGGUCGUAAAACUCUGUUGUUAGGGAAGAACAAGUGCUAGUUGAAUAAGCUGGCACCUUGACGGUACCUAACCAGAAAGCCACGGCUAACUACGUGCCAGCAGCAGCCGCAG
rnacentral:rRNA from 1 species